GAGGUCCUACGGGAGGCAGCAGUGGGGAAUAUUGCACAAUGGGGGGAACCCUGAUGCAGCGACGCCGCGUGGGUGAAGGAGUAUUUCGGUAUGUAAAGCCCUAUCAGCAGGGAAGAACAAUGACGGUACCUGACUAAGAAGCACCGGCUAAAUACGUGCCAGCAGCCGCGGUAAUACGUAUGGUGCAAGCGUUAUCCGGAUUUACUGGGUGUAAAGGGAGCGCAGCCGGCUGUGCAAGUCUGGAGUGAAAGGCGGGGGCCCAACCCCCGGACUGCUUUGGAACCUGCAA
rnacentral:rRNA from 1 species